rnacentral:tRNA from 1 species
GAAGCCUUAGCUUAAUGAAAGUGUCUGAUUUGCAUUCAGAAGAUGUGAGUUGAUGUCUUACAGGUUUUA